rnacentral:rRNA from 1 species
UGGGGAAUUUUGGACAAUGGGGGCAACCCUGAUCCAGCCAUGCCGCGUGAGUGAAGAAGGCCUUCGGGUUGUAAAGCUCUUUUCGGCGGGGACGAAACGGUUCGUGUUAACACCACGGACUAAUGACGGUACUCGCAGAAGAAGCACCGGCUAACUACGUGCCAGCAGCCGCGGUAAUACGUAGGGUGCAGGCGUUAAUCGGAAUUACUGGGCGUAAAGCGUGCGCAGGCGGCUCACUGGCUCGAUACUGACGCUGAGGUGCGAAAGCGUGGGGAGCAAAACAGGAUUAGAUACCCCCGUAGUCCCUGAGCGGGCUGGCAAGGCGCAU